rnacentral:rRNA from 1 species
AGAGUUUGAUCCUGGCUCAGGACGAACGCUGGCGGUGUGCUUAACACAUGCAAGUCGAACGGUGAGUAUCCGGUAGUAAUAUUGGGUGCUCAUAGUGGCGGACGGGUGAGUAACGCGUGAGCAAUCUACCUUAGAGUGGGGGACAACAUCCGGAAACGGAUGCUAAUACCGCAUAAGACCACGGGGACGCAUGUUCCGGGGGUCAAAGGAGAAAUCCGCUUUAAGAUGAGCUCGCGUCCCAUUAGCUGGUUGGUGAGGUAACGGCCCACCAAGGCAACGAUGGGUAGCCGACCUGAGAGGGUGAUCGGCCACACUGGAACUGAGACACGGUCCAGACUCCUACGGGAGGCAGCAGUGGGGAAUAUUGGGCAAUGGGCGAAAGCCUGACCCAGCAACGCCGCGUGAUUGAAGAAGGCCUUCGGGUUGUAAAGAUCUGUCCUAUGGGACGAAACAAAUGACGGUACC